CUGCACAGUAUAACCUAUUCUCUGACUUCAGCGUGGAAACAGUGCGUGGCAUUAAGAACGGCUUCUCCGUGGGAGCAGCGUAAACGUGGACCAAGCGCUCGUGGUGAGAACAGAAGACACGUCCACACGAGUUGCCAUCACCGGCAGGCCGGACUUGGACAGUUGGGGCGGAGGAAGAGGCAAGAAAGAGGGAAGGGAGAUGAGGAGAGGAAGACCAAGGGGGUUAUAGGUGCUGUCCUUAAAGAUUCGCCUCUACGAUGCAAUCUGAUUCAGGAGCUGAAAGGAUAACAGAGAAGAGGGAAAAAAAGGAGCUGAAUGGAGUGAGAAAGGAGUGGAAGCGUGGGUGGAGGCGAGCAUUUUGUGCUCCGGUCUCGACCACGGGUAUUCUUGGGUUGAUAAUACAGAUGUGGAUGUUAUUGCUUGAGAAUACGCGUAGUCGAGGGGAAGCUUUAUCAUCAACACUGGAUCUGAUGUGGAGAUCUGUUCUGUAGUGCUGCAGAGUCCAAACACAUAAGGGAAGGAACAAAUGGAAAUGUUUGGUCAAUCAGAUUUUUGAAUUACCUUACCUUGUAAGAGUACUCAUAAACCUUAAGGUUUUCUGCAUUUUGUCACAUUGUAGCCACAAACUUCAAUUAGGUUUAUUGGGAUUAUUAUUGGGAUCUCUUAUAAAAUCCCAAUAACUGUGUACUUUGUGCCCAAUUAUGCUCAAACUAGUGCAUAAUUGUGAAGUGAAGGGAAACAUUUUAUAAAAAACAUUUUUAACAUUUUUACAAAUAAAAAUCCAAGAAGUUGGCCAUGAUUUUGCUCCGAUACCCCUAAAUAAACUUUGGUUCAUUCAUUCAAGAUCAGAGAAGCAGAAUCACUAACUCUGGAGGAGCAGCAGAGAUUCACAGCCCAGUCAGGAAAAUCUGUCGAUGAUGUGUCGAUAUGAUUUGUUGGCCAGAAGAACCAGAACAAGUCCGGUUCGCCUCAAGCCAUGUAGGGAACACAGCAGAAACGUGGUAGAAGGUGUUUUGAUCAGAUGAGACUAAAACUUUCUGGCAUGCAAGAAAAAUCCCAUGUGUAGCUGAAAGCUAGCACAGCACAUCCUUCUGAGAAACACAAGCCAAAACUAGCCAAGAAGAUACAACGAGCUUUGUGGCUGUAAUGUGACAAAAUGUGACAAAAAGUUAAACGGAAGUGAUUACUUUUGCAAGGCAAAGUAAAAAGCAAUUGAGGCUUGCCAGGAGUCUCAAUUGAAUUGAGCCACUAACAAGGUGUUAUCAGCCGUGUCACUCUGUCCACCUGUGGAGCUGGUGUGUUCAGCAGCUCCUUCACAAGAAGCUUUGCACCAUGCUGCUCGGCUAAAACCCAGGCAGUUCUGGGAGCUUAUCUCAAAAGUCUUCACCACUGCACAUUAAAUCUUUUGAUUAUGUACUCUUGUCAUUCAUAAGCGAUGUCAUAGUCUCAUCAUUUCAUGGCUGUCUUUUGUUGUUUUUAUGUCUAUAUUCAUUCCAAACAAGAAGUCCUUAAAUUUCCAGAUACGGUGCCUGAGAAUUUUGCUCAGCAGCGAGCCCAUCCACACUACCCCCUGCGCUCCGAUUUUUUUCCACUCUCCAGCUCAAACCUUAUAAAAGGAGUAAAAAAAAAAGUGCUAGUUUGAUGCCAGUAGCUGCAGCAACAGGAGACAGUAACACAUGAGGACAUGUAAAGCUUGCACCCGUGGCUGACAUUUCAGCAUUUUGACUCAGUUGACUGGCUGUCAUGAUGCAGAAUCAGACUCACACUGACACAAACACAGGAUCUACAUGCCAGCAGGGAAACAGUGGGGUUUGAUGGAGCUCAUGACAACAGGCACAUGGAUAGAUCCCGUCCAUUUGAGCACACAUGCGAUGCUGCGUGAAGGUUCACUGGGUCCGUACGC